AAGUCGUAACAAGGUCUCCGUUGGUGAACCAGCGGAGGGAUCAUUACUGAGUUACCGCUCUAUAACCCUUUGUGAACAUACCUAACUGUUGCUUCGGCGGACGGCUCCCGGGCCCCCGGCCCCGCUCUGCGGGGUGUCCGCCGGAGGAUAACCAAACUCUGAUUUAACGACGUUUCUUCUGAGUGGCACAAGCAAAUAAUCAAAACUUUUAACAACGGAUCUCUUGGUUCUGGCAUCGAUGAAGAACGCAGCGAAAUGCGAUAAGUAAUGUGAAUUGCAGAAUUCAGUGAAUCAUCGAAUCUUUGAACGCACAUUGCGCCCGCCAGCAUUCUGGCGGGCAUGCCUGUUCGAGCGUCAUUUCAACCCUCAAGCACUGCUUGGCGUUGGGGCUCUACGGUUGACGUAGGCCCUCAAAGGUAGUGGCGGACCCUCUCGGAGCCUCCUUUGCGUAGUAACUUUUGUCUCGCACUGGGAUUCGGAGGGACUCUAGCCGUUAAACCCCCAAUUUUCCAAAGGUUGACCUCGGAUCAGGUAGGAAUACCCGCUGAACUUAA
rnacentral:rRNA from 1 species